GGACCGUGUAUAAGUCUCUUGGAACAGAGCGUCGUAGAGGGUGAGAAUCCCGUCUUUGACACGGACUACCAGUGCUUUGUGAUGCGCUCUCAAAGAGUCGAGUUGUUUGGGAAUGCAGCUCAAAAUGGGUGGUAAAUUCCAUCUAAAGCUAAAUAUUGGCGAGAGACCGAUAGCGAACAAGUACCGUGAGGGAAAGAUGAAAAGCACUUUGGAAAGAGAGUUAAACAGUACGUGAAAUUGCUGAAAGGGAAACGCUUGAAGUCAGUCGCGUCUGCCGGAACUCAGCCUUGCUUUUCGCUUGGUGCACUUUCCGGUUGGACGGGCCAGCAUCGAUUUUGACCGUCGGAAAAGGGCUUGAGAAAUGUGGCACCUUCGGGUGUGUUAUAGUCUCUUGUCGCAUACGGCGGUCGGGAUCGAGGAACGCAGCGCGCCGCAAGGCAGGGGUUCGCCCACUUUCGCGCUUAGGAUGCUGGCAUAAUGGCUUUAAACGACCCGUCUUGAAACACGGACCAAGGAGUCUAACAAACCUGCGAGUGUUUGGGUGGUAAACCCGAGCGCGUAAUGAAAGUGAAAGUUGAGACCUCUGUCGUGGAGGGCACCGACGCCCGGACCUGACGUUCUCUGACGGAUCCGCGGUAGAGCAUGUUUGUUGGGACCCGAAAGAUGGUGAACUAUGCCUGAAUAGGGUGAAGCCAGAGGAAACUCUGGUG
rnacentral:rRNA from 1 species